GAUGAACGCUGGCGGUGUGCCUAAUACAUGCAAGUCGAGCGAACAGACGAGGAGCUUACUCCUCUGACGUUAGCGGCGGACGGGUGAGUAACACGUGGAUAACCUACCUAUAAGACUGGGAUAACUUCGGGAAACCGGAGCUAAUACCGGAUAACAUGUUGAACCGCAUGGUUCAACAGUGAAAGACGGUCUUGCUGUCACUUAUAGAUGGAUCCGCGUCGCAUUAGCUAGUUGGUAAGGUAACGGCUUACCAAGGCAACGAUGCGUAGCCGACCUGAGAUGGUGAUCGGCCACACUGGAACUGAGACACGGUCCAGACUCCUACGGGAGGCAGCAGUAGGGAAUCUUCCGCAAUGGGCGAAAGCCUGACGGAGCAACGCCGCGUGAGUGAAGAAGGUCUUCGGAUCGUAAAACUCUGUUAUUAGGGAAGAACAAAUGUGUAAGUAACUAUGCACGUCUUGACGGUACCUAAUCAGAAAGCCACGGCUAACUACGUG
rnacentral:rRNA from 1 species